UCUCAACCUGUCAGAGCCUGACCUCCCUUCUCAUUGUGUGGCUCCACCCAUGGUAGUCUGGCUCCGCCCUCUCAAUCCUGCGUUUGGGAGGCAUUUAUCUUUCUCCUUCAGGCCCCUCACCAACAGCAGUUCAUCCUUCCCCCUCAUUAUGCCUUCUCCUUUAAGGUGGCUGCUACUGGACACAGACACCCGUGACCUGGUGGCUAUCCACACAGAUGGCAAUGAGCAGAUCUCUGUGGUCAGCUUUUCACCAGACGGGGCGUACCUGGCUGUGGGCUCCCACGACAACUUGGUGUACGUGUACACGGUGGACCAGGGUGGCCGCAAGGUCAGCCGCCUGGGCAAGUGCUCGGUGAGUGGGCAGUGGUCCCCAGCCCGCGCCACCACCCCGCCCAAUGGGGUGCAAAAUUAACUUUUUCUAUCACG
rnacentral:lncRNA from 1 species